rnacentral:rRNA from 1 species
GAUGAACGCUGGCGGCGUGCCUAAUACAUGCAAGUCGAGCGAACGGACGAGAAGCUUGCUUCUCUGAUGUUAGCGGCGGACGGGUGAGUAACACGUGGAUAACCUACCUAUAAGACUGGGAUAACUUCGGGAAACCGGAGCUAAUACCGGAUAAUAUUUUGAACCGCAUGGUUCAAAAGUGAAAGACGGUCUUGCUGUCACUUAUAGAUGGAUCCGCGCUGCAUUAGCUAGUUGGUAAGGUAACGGCUUACCAAGGCAACGAUGCAUAGCCGACCUGAGAGGGUGAUCGGCCACACUGGAACUGAGACACGGUCCAGACUCCUACGGGAGGCAGCAGUAGGGAAUCUUCCGCAAUGGGCGAAAGCCUGACGGAGCAACGCCGCGUGAGUGAUGAAGGUCUUCGGAUCGUAAAACUCUGUUAUUAGGGAAGAACAUAUGUGUAAGUAACUGUGCACAUCUUGACGGUACCUAAUCAGAAAGCCACGGCUAACUACGUGCCAGCAGCCGCGGUAAUACAUAGGUGGCAAGCGUUAUCCGGAAUUAUUGGGCGUAAAGCGCGCGUAGGCGGUUUUUUAAGUCUGAUGUGAAAGCCCACGGCUCAACCGUGGAGGGUCAUUGGAAACUGGAAAACUUGAGUGCAGAAGAGGAAAGUGGAAUUCCAUGUGUAGCGGUGAAAUGCGCAGAGAUAUGGAGGAACACCAGUGGCGAAGGCGACUUUCUGGUCUGUAACUGACGCUGAUGUGCGAAAGCGUGGGGAUCGAACAGGAUUAGAUACCCUGGUAGUCCACGCCGUAAACGAUGAGUGCUAAGUGUUAGGGGGUUUCCGCCCCUUAGUGCUGCAGCUAACGCAUUAAGCACUCCGCCUGGGGAGUACGACCGCAAGGUUGAAACUCAAAGGAAUUGACGGGGACCCGCACAAGCGGUGGAGCAUGUGGUUUAAUUCGAAGCAACGCGAAGAACCUUACCAAAUCUUGACAUCCUUUGACAACUCUAGAGAUAGAGCCUUCCCCUUCGGGGGACAAAGUGACAGGUGGUGCAUGGUUGUCGUCAGCUCGUGUCGUGAGAUGUUGGGUUAAGUCCCGCAACGAGCGCAACCCUUAAGCUUAGUUGCCAUCAUUAAGUUGGGCACUCUAAGUUGACUGCCGGUGACAAACCGGAGGAAGGUGGGGAUGACGUCAAAUCAUCAUGCCCCUUAUGAUUUGGGCUACACACGUGCUACAAUGGACAAUACAAAGGGCAGCGAAACCGCGAGGUCAGGCAAAUCCCAUAAAGUCGUUCUCAGUUCGGAUUGUAGUCUGCAACUCGACUACAUGAAGCUGGAAUCGCUAGUAAUCGUAGAUCAGCAUGCUACGGUGAAUACGUUCCCGGGUCU